UGGGGAAUAUUGCACAAUGGGCGCAAGCCUGAUGCAGCCAUGCCGCGUGUAUGAAGAAGGCCUUCGGGUUGUAAAGUACUUUCAGCGGGGAGGAAGGCGAUAAGGUUAAUAACCUUGUCGAUUGACGUUACCCGCAGAAGAAGCACCGGCUAACUCCGUGCCAGCAGCCGCGGUAAUACGGAGGGUGCAAGCGUUAAUCGGAAUUAAUGGGCGUAAAGCGCACGCAGGCGGUAUGUCAAGUCGGAUGUGAAAUCCCCGGGCUCAACCUGGGAACUGCAUUCGAAACUGGCAGGCUAGAGUCUUGUAGAGGGGGGUAGAAUUCCAGGUGUAGCGGUGAAAUGCGUAGAGAUCUGGAGGAAUACCGGUGGCGAAGGCGGCCCCCUGGACAAAGACUGACGCUCAGGUGCGAAAGCGUGGGGAGCAAACA
rnacentral:rRNA from 1 species